GACGAACGCUGGCGGUGUGCUUCACACAUGCAGGUCGAACGAGGUAGCAAUACCUAGUGGCGGACGGGUGAGUAACGCGUGGGAAUCUGCCUUUAGAUGGGGGAUAACGGUUCGAAAGAGUCGCUAAUACCGCAUAUGACGAAAGUUGAAAGAGUAAUCCUCUGAAGAUGAGCCCGCGUCCGAUUAGCUAGUUGGUAGAGUAAAAGCCUACCAAGGCGACGAUCGGUAGCUGGUCUGAGAGGAUGAUCAGCCACAAUGGGACUGAGACACGGCCCAUACUCCUACGGGAGGCAGCAGUGGGGAAUUUUACGCAAUGGGCGAAAGCCUGACGUAGCGACACCGCGUGAACGAAGAAGCCUCUUGGGGUGUAAAGUUCUGUCAGCUGGAACGAAAAAAAUGACGGUACCAGCAGAGGGAGCAUCGGCUAACUACGUGCCAGCAGCCGCGGUAAGACGUAGGAUGCAAGCGUUGUCCGGAUUUAUUGGGCGUAAAGAGUUCGUAGGUGGUUUGUUAAGUUUGGUGUUAAAGAUUGGGGCUCAACCCUGAAACUGCACUGAAUACUGGCAGACUCGAGUGUGGUAGAGGCUAGUGGAAUUCCCAGUGUAGCGGUGAAAUGCGUAGAUAUUGGGAAGACACCGGUGGCGUACGCGACUAGCUGGGCCAUAACUGACACUGAGGAACGAAAGCCAGGGUAGCGAAUGGGAUUAGAUACCCCAGUAGUCCUGGCCGUGAACGAUGGAUACUAGCGUAUGGG
rnacentral:rRNA from 1 species